GACACAGCUCGUCGAAGAAUGCUUGGAAAAGGUGGAUGUCUGUUUGUUCAGCGGCAUCCUGAGGAUGCAUAAGAGUACAUACUGCUGUGUGAGUGACUGAUGUGAGCCACAUGAGCCUCAGAGCAGAAUAUUCAUGACCCUUCUAAAUAAGCGCCCUCACCGCCUGAUGAGGGACAAUAAUGUUAAUAAAAUCACAGGAAACACGGAGCUGCUGCUGCUUCACGUCAGAAAUCAGCUCCACCAAUUUGAGGAUUGCAAGAACUGAAGUAUGCAAGCUAUAUGUAGAAAUCACAUCAUUUUACUGUACCUCUACCCAGACCAUCAGUACACCCAGGUUUUGUCCUCCUUACUGCUCAGGGCUCCAGACUAACUGAGAACAGAGGUCACACUAAAAUGUUCAUUUUAAUCUAAUUCAAUUUGAAGGGUUUACAUGUUUAUUCAAUAAAUUGUUUACUUUA
ensembl:processed_transcript